rnacentral:rRNA from 1 species
GACGAACGCUGGCGGCGUGCUUAACACAUGCAAGUCGAACGGAAAGGCCUGGUUUUGUUGGGUGGUUGGGGUGGGAAAGGGGUGAGUAACAGGUGGGUACCCUGCCUUGACUUUUGGGUUAAUUUAGGGAAAUUGGGGUAAAUACCGGAUGGGAGUCCCGGUGGCAGGGGGGGGGUGGGAAGGUUUCGGCGGUUGGGGAUGGACUCGCGGCUUAUCAGCUUGUGGGUGGGGAGGGGGCUUACCAAGGCUUUGACGGGUAGCCGGCCUGAGAGGGUGACCGGCCACAUUGGGACUGAGAUACGGCCCAGACUCCUACGGGAGGCAGCAGUGGGGAAUAUUGCACAAUGGGCGGAAGCCUGAUGCAGCAACGCCGCGUGCGGGAUGACGGCCUUCGGGUUGUAAACCGCUUUCGCCUGUGACGAAGCGUGAGUGACGGUAAUGGGUAAAGAAGCACCGGCUAACUACGUG